rnacentral:rRNA from 1 species
GAUCAUGGCUCAGGAUGAACGCUAGCGACAGGCUUAACACAUGCAAGUCGAGGGGCAGCAUGAUUUGUAGCAAUACAGAUUGAUGGCGACCGGCGCACGGGUGAGUAACGCGUAUGCAACUUACCUAUCAGAGGGGGAUAGCCCGGCGAAAGUCGGAUUAAUACCCCAUAAAACAGGGGUCCCGCAUGGUAGAAUUAUUUAGUAA